rnacentral:rRNA from 1 species
AAGCUUGCUUGUCUCAAAGAUUAAGCCAUGCAUGUGUAAGCACACACUGUUUUAAAAGUGAAGCCGCGAAUGGCUCAUUACAACAGCCACAGUUUAUUAGAACUUACAAUCAUGGAUAACUGUGGUAAUUCUAGAGCUAAUACACGCACAAAAACUUCAACUGAAUUGGUUGAAGUGCUUUUAUUAGAACAAAAACCGAACGGCGUUUGACGAAUGUUGAACGUCGAAACUGUUUGGUGAAUCUGAAUAACUAUUUCUGAUCGCAUGGUCUAGCACCGGCGACAUCACUUUCAAGUGUCUGCCUUAUCAACCUUCGAUGGUAGCCUAUGCGACUACCAUGGUGAUAACGGGUAACGGAGAAUCAGGGUUCGACUCCGGAGAGGGAGCCUGAGAAACGGCUACCACAUCCAAGGAAGGCAGCAGGCGCGCAAAUUACCCACUCCCAGCUUGGGGAGGUAGUGACGAAAAAUAACGAGACGAUUCUCGUUUGAGAAACGUUAUCGAAAUGAGUACGCUUUACACACGCUAACGAGUAGCAAUUGGAGGGCAAGUCUGGUGCCAGCAGCCGCGGUAAUUCCAGCUCCAAUAGCGUAUAUUAAAGUUGCUGCGGUUAAAACGCUCGUAGUUGAAUUGUGGUCUUAGACAACAGUCCCCCUACAAAGGUGUGGCACGGUUGCUCGAGAUCUUCAUUCGUGGUUGCUGUUGUUGCUCUUCAUUGAGUGUCAAUGGUGCCUCGAGAUUUUACUUUGAAAAAAUUAGAGUGCUCAAAGCAGGUUGUGAUGCCUGAAUAAUGGUGCAUGGAAUAAUAGAAUACGAUCUCGGUUCUAUUUUGUUGGUUUUCGAACCGGAGAUAAUGAUUGAAAGGAACAGACGGGGGCAUUCGUAUUGCUGCGUUAGAGGUGAAAUUCUUGGAUCGCAGCAAGAUGAACAAUUGCGAAAGCAUUUGCCAAGAAUGUUUUCAUUAAUCAAGAACGAAAGUUAGAGGUUCGAAGGCGAUCAGAUACCGCCCUAGUUCUAACGGUAAACUAUGCCAACCAGCGAUUCGCCGAAGUUCAUUUAAGACUCGGCGAGCAGCUUCCGGGAAACCAAAGUGUUUCGGUUCCGGGGGAAGUAUGGUUGCAAAGCUGAAACUUAAAGGAAUUGACGGAAGGGCACCACCAGGAGUGGCAUGCGGCUUAAUUUGACUCAACACGGGAAAACUCACCCGGCCCGGACACUGGAAGGAUUGACAGAUUGACAGCUCAGCUCUUUCUUGAUUCAGUGGGUAGUGGUGCAUGGCCGUUCUUAGUUGGUGGAGCGAUUUGUCUGGUUAAUUCCGAUAACGAACGAGACUCUACCCUAUUAAAUAGUGACAGUAUUGUAUUUUUUGUGCUGAUCACUUCUUAGAGGGACUGGCAAAUUGAAAGCUGCACGAAAAAGAGCAAUAACAGGUCUGUGAUGCCCUUCGAUGUCCGGGGCUGCACGCGCGCUACAAUGAAAGCGUCAACGUGAGUUACGUCCUUACCUGAAAAGGUUUGGCAAUCGAAUGAAACGUUUUCUUGAAUGGAAUAGGGAAUUGCAAUUGUUUCCCUUGAACGAGGAAUUCCCAGUAAGCGUGAGUCAUUAGCUCGCGUUGAUUACGUCCCUGCCCUUUGUACACACGCCCGUCGCUACUACCGAUUGGAUGAUUUAGUGAGGUGUUUUGACUGGCGCCAGUAGUCGGAUAUGUAUUCGUCGCGCCGGGAAAUUUCCCAAACCAAAUCAUCUAGAGGAAGUAAAAGUCGUAACAAGGUUUCCGUAGGUGAACUGCGGAAGGAUC